CAGCCGCCACGGUAAUACGGAGGGGGCUAGCGUUGUUCGGAAUUACUGGGCGUAAAGCGCACGUAGGCGGCUUGGUAAGUUAGAGGUGAAAGCCCGGAGCUCAACUCCAGAAUUGCCUUUAAGACUGCCGAGCUAGCAGGUGAGAGAGGUAAGUGGAAUUCCGAGUGUAGAGGUGAAAUUCGUAGAUAUUCGGAAGAACACCAGUGGCGAAGGCGGCUUACUGGCUCAUACUGGACGCUGAGGUGCGAAAGCGUGGGGAGCAAACAGGAUUAGAUACCCCUGUAGUCCCUGUCUCUUAUAC
rnacentral:rRNA from 1 species